GGAGCGAGCGUUAUCCGGAAUUAUUGGGUGUAAAGGGUGCGUAGACGGGAAAGCAAGUUAGUUGUGAAAUCCCUCGGCUUAACUGAGGAACUGCAACUAAAACUGAAUUUCUUGAGUGCGGGAGAGGAAAGUGGAAUUCCUAGUGUAGCGGUGAAAUGCGUAGAUAUUAGGAGGAACACCAGUGGCGAAGGCGACUUUCUGGACCGUAACUGACGUUGAGGCACGAAAGUGUGGGGAGCAAAC
rnacentral:rRNA from 1 species